rnacentral:rRNA from 1 species
AGAGUUUGAUCAUGGCUCAGGACGAACGCUGGCGGCGUGCUUAACACAUGCAAGUCACGGGGGGCCCGCAAGGGUCAACCGGCGAACGGGUGCGUAACACGUGAGCGACCUGCCCAGUUGCGGGGGAUAGCCGGCCCAACGGCCGGGUAAUACCGCAUACGCGUUCCGGGGGGCAUACCCUGGGGCGGAAACCUACGGGGCAAUUGGAGGGGCUCGCGGCCUAUCAGCUAGUUGGCGGGGUAACGGCCCACCAAGGCGAUGACGGGUAGCUGGUCUGAGAGGAUGGCCAGCCACAUUGGGACUGAGAGACGGCCCAGACUCCUACGGGAGGCAGCAGUGGGGAAUCUUGCGCAAUGGCCGAAAGGCUGACGCAGCGACGCCGCGUGGAGGAUGACGCCCUUCGGGGUGUAAACUCCUGUUGCCCGGGACGAAAGCCCGUUUCGACGGGGGUGACGGUACCGGGUGAGGAAGCACCGGCUAACUCUGUGCCAGCAGCCGCGGUAAUACAGAGGGUGCGAGCGUUGUCCGGAAUCACUGGGCGUAAAGGGCGCGUAGGCGGCUGGGUAAGCGUGUGGUGAAAGCCCGGGGCUCAACCCCGGGUCGGCCAUGCGAACUGCCCGGCUGGAGCACGGUAGAGGCACAUGGAAUUCCGGGUGUAGCGGUGGAAUGCGUAGAGAUCCGGAAGAACACCGGUGGCGAAGGCGGUGUGCUGGGCCGUGGCUGACGCUGAGGCGCGACAGCGUGGGGAGCAAACAGGAUUAGAUACCCUGGUAGUCC